GUUCUCUUUCGGCCCCACCCACAGUGUGUCGUCACUUCCGCGGAAACCGCUCUUCCGUCUUUCUCGCGCACGUGUAGUCCUCUUUACGACUCGGCUGGCGAAGAUGGCGGACACACAGGUGUUGACCAAGAUGAAGAUGCAGAGGGCCAUCGUCAGAUCAGAUUACAUCUGCAAGUACAACCGCUAUGAGACGAAGACUUGUCUGUCCACCUCUCUCCGUGCUUUAGGCUAUUGCUGGCACUUACAUUGAUAAGAAAUGCCCCUUCACCGGAAACGUGUCCAUCAGAGGCCGUAUUCUGUCUGGUGUGGUGACCAAGAUGAAGAUGCGGAGGACCAUCAUUAGACAGGACUACUUGCAUUACAUCUGCAAGUACAACCGCUAUGAGACAUAAGAACUUGUCUGUCCACCUCUCCCCAUGCUUCAGGUGUGGUGACCAAGAUGAAGAUGCGGAGGACCAUCAUUAGACAGGACUACUUGCAUUACAUCCGCAAGUACAACCGCUAUGAGACAUAAGAACUUGUCAGUCCACCUCUCCCCAUGCUUCAGGAGUGUGACUGUUGUUGGCGUGUCCUGAAGGUCACCAAGGCAGCUGGAGCCAAGCACUUCCAGAAGAUCUAGAUCGGUUUUAACAAUGACACCUGUAUUGUUUGUGGAAAAGAAAAUUAAAGUUUUUUUUUUAAUGUUUCA